rnacentral:lncRNA from 10 species
GAGACGGAGUCUCGUUCUGUCGCCCAGGCGGGAGUGCUGUGGCGCGAUCUCCGCUCACUGCAAGCUCCGCCUUCCAGGUUCACGCCAUUCUCCUGCCUCAGCCUCCCGAGUAGCUGGGACUACAGGCACCCGCCACUGCGCCCAGCUAAUUUUUUUUUUGUAUUUUUAUGUAAAUGAGACUCAUAUUCAUAUUAUCCAAAAAAAAGUUCAGACUCAAAUACAUAAGAUUCAUUUGUUUUUGAUAUUGGAAAUUACACCAAAUUGGAGGCAGCAUUCCAAGUAUUUUCUAAAGUAUCAGAUUUUAACCAGGAAUCAUUUUUCAGCUAUCAGCUCUGUGUCUUCACAAUUUGAUGAGAUAUUUUAUUUGCUAAGAAUCCCUGUAUUAAAAUUGUUAAAUCAGGCCAGGCACGGUGGCUCACACCUGCAAUCCCAGCACUUUAAGAGGCGGAGGCAGGGGAAUCAACUGAGGUCAGGAGUUCAAGAC